UCCGCAGCUUCACUUCAUGCACCUCCGUCCACGUGUUCUCGUCGUACUGGGUGAAUUUGGUCAGAUUGAGUCCCAGGCUCUUGCAGAGCGCAUGGAGGAUCCUGAGGGAGUGGGAGCCGCUGGUGAAGAUUCGGCCCCCGAUCCUGUUGUCUGCCUCCAGGAUGGUGACCUGAGGGACGAUGGGCAGCAAGCAGGUGCUUUAGCUCCUCCCACUGACUCCCCAUCUCCACCCUGUCGCAGCCCCCACCCCACACCCACCCAAUCUUCCAUCCCCACAGCAGCACGGAUGGAGAUGAAAGAAGGAUCUUUUUUUUUAUGGGGAGGUGGGAGGGGCUGGUGGGAGAACGGAAAGUCACAGUGAACAUGUACAAUGUGACAAUUUCCAGACUGCAGCAGGAAGGCCGCUGGCCAGAUUUCAGAGGGACUUCCCAGCUCAGGGAGUGGGGAGAUUUCUUCUGUGUACUGAAGCCACUGGCCUGGCCCAUACUCAUUCUUGGAUUUCAGUGGGAGGGACAGUGGUUAGACUUCAGGGGGCACUCCCCCUUGUGCGGAGUUUCCAUCUCCACCAACACAAAUUCCCCCCAGGAAGUUGGAAGAGGUUUCAAGGGACUUUCCUCCAGGAUGAGAGUGGGGCAGGGAAAGUCAAAGCCCUCAGCACAGACACAUGUUCCCUCUGGGUUUCAUGUUAGAGCAGAGGGUUCCAGGCCUCGCUCCCCUGACCACAAGGAAAGCAUAGCUCCCUCUCUCCGCCUCCCAUCACCCCCACCCCUCAACAGGGACGUGGCCAGGUCCCUGUACCCGGGACUCCCAGCCGCAGCAGGAAAGACUCAAGGUAGACAGCAAGCAGCACUUCUCACCUUGUGUCCAGCAUCGCUGAGCACCUUGGCGGCCAACAACCCAGCCACGCCUGCACCAACCACAGUCACCCUCUGGGGCUUCGAGGUCCGAUUGAGGCCCAAGGUCAGGACUCUGAGCAGCUGCUCAUAGUCGGGGUCUCGCAUACAUUUCUCGAAGGGGUCGCGGCUCUGGGCAGUUUGCCAGUCCAGGGAGGCCGCCAGGCUGAGGAGGAUGGGGACCAGGGCGAGGAGGCGCCAGGCUGGGGGGAAGAAGGACAGGGUCAGCGGGCAGCUCAGCGGGUAUGUGGGGAGAGAAAAGCGGCUUCUGCUCCCUCCGCUGCUUACUUACCCAAGGAGUCCAUGUCUCUCUGGGGGAGAUGUUGUCUGGGUUGGAGGGGAAGCAGGGCCACUGUGACAGGAGCCUGUGUCCCCCCCAGCCUGGCCCACUGUGGGCUGCCCCGCGCCCACCUCAGCCCUCCCCACUAUGGCCCUGGUCUCUCUACACGUGUGUGUCCCCUGUUCCCGGGCUAGCCGGCUCCUGGUCUCUGCUCACCUGUCUGCCCUCCUCUCCUGUCUCUCUUCUCUGUCCCGCCUUUCUCUCACCUCCUCUGGGUCUCCCUGUUUCUCCCUUAUCUGCCCUGCUCAGCCCUGUCUCCCCGUCUGUUUCUGUGGGGCCCAGUCUCUCUGCAGCCUCCUCGCUACCUCAGCCUCCGCAGGCAUUAGCACCUCCUCUCUCCUCUGUCCCCUCCGCCUGUCUGCCGAGUCCCCCGUCUCGGCCCUUAAACUGAGCCCAACCCCGCCCUCCCCUCCCUCUUGGGAAAUCGAGCUGUGGGAAAUGAAACUCCUUUCCUUGGGGGCGGGUCAGAUGCUCAGAGUCUAGUUGAGGCUGGAGGGGGCGCGGCAGCGGGGGAAGGGGUUGGGAGGAAGCAAAUCAGUCUGGCCUGCCCGAGCCCUUGGUCCCCCUGAUCUGAUCGCAGGGCCCGUGUCUGCCCUCUUCUCUGCCCUCUCUGCCUCUUUCAUUCUCAGAGCAGGGGGAGAGGCGGCCUCUGGCCUUGGGAAUGCGUGUGCCCUGCGACAGCCUCUGAGUCCUUCUCUGUGUCAGCCGUCCCUGUGCUCUGGAGGGCCCUCGCUGGCCCCCACCACAUGGCCGCUCUGAGCUCAGUGAAAUGGGCACAGCAGGGGACUCACAGGCAGCAGCUCGUGGUCGGUGGCACGAGCUCUGGGCCAGCCUGCCUGGGUCCUGAGUCUGGCACCUGCCAGGGGGGACUUGGAGCAGGCCUUCCCCUCUCUUUGGCUCCGCCCGUCCCCCCUGCGCUGAGAACCACCGUGACGCUCGGCUCAGGCUAGGGCUUCGGCGGGGGGCACCUCGGAGAAAGCGUUGAGUGCUUCUGUCUCUCUCCCUGGCUUUGGCCAUCGCCACCCACUGUCCGCGGGCCCUUUUCUCCUCAGGGGCGAGGGGCAGGCAGUGGGAACAGGGUGACCCGGCUCCAAGGAGCCCCUGCGGGGCUCAUGGCUUCGGGACUUCAGCCAAGGGGACCUAUGGUGGGUCCCUUGAAGGGGGUGGGCAGAGGCAAUCUUGGGGAUUUUUCUGGGGGUUGGAGGAGAGAGCACCAGGCGAGUGGUAAGAAGGAAAGCCAGAGGGCGGCAGGUGCUCUGCAGCAACCAGUUGGGAAAAUCCAAACAGUAAAUCAAAGAGGGAUGUGGUUUGAUGGAGGUACGGGGUUGGAGGGGGUGCAUACCAGUGAGUCAGAAAACAUCUGAUGUGGGUGGGAAGGCGGUGGCCAAGAAGGAAACAAAAUCAGUGAGCUGGACACUGAGAGAAAGCCAAGGGCGCGAGUCAGCAAAAACCAGCAGCGAGAGGGUUGCCGCUCUCUGAGGUGGCCUGUGCUCAGAGCUCUGCCCUGGGCAGAGGAGGAAUCUGAGGCUCAGAGGUGGCCAGGGGCUGGGCAGGGGCGGAGCCCAGGACUCGCACAGGCCUCAGAGCUGGCAGGCCUUCCCAUCGCAGACCCCGCCUGCUUUAUUCACGAUGACGUGGAGGGUUGGCGUGCCAUCGCGUCAGGACCUUGCACACCUUGUGAGGGAGGGGAACCUGGCCCGCGGCGGGGAAGGCACUUGCCCGGGGUCCCACAGUGGGAAACAGCAGAGCUGGGAGUCCACCUGAUCCCAGGUCCCUGCCCCCACCCCGUCCCCUUCUACGGCCUCAUGGCAAUGUCCCACACAGAGAAAGGGAGCAGCAAGAACAUGGAAGCAGAAAGGGAUGGAGGCAGCAGAGCCAAGGGGCUCCCAGGGCAUGUCUGGGCAAGGAGUGUUGGUCGCGGAGCAUCUAGGGGGCCCUCCUGGGGUCCCUGGGUUGACCCCCUGGUCUCUCCUGCACAGGGUCUCUGUUCACAGUCCCCCCGGCUCCGGGCACACCCCCAGUUCACCCCCUGGACUCUGUGGAAGGCGUGCAGCCUUACCCCAGAGACCCCAUGCAAGGAGUCAGGUGGGGAGGCGAGCAGGACUCUCGGAGGCUACGAGGGCAAGGCCUGCUCGGCCUCCUGGAUGCUGAUAAGGUGACGGAGGGUCCUGCUGAGUACCGCGUGCCCGACACGCUACAAGUUCUACUUCAUUGACUCCAGUGACAACUCUGACAGGGUGGGUUGAGCUGUCCCUAUUUUACAGUGGAGAAAACGGGGGCCCAGAUCAGGCACCAGCUAAGGGGCAGAACCUGUGUUUGAUCCCAGCAGCCCGGCUCCAGGAUGGCUAACACUUGGUUAGCUCAGGCUCGUGGACCGGGGAUGGGGCCCGGGUAGGGGCUCUCCGUGUCGGUGCUAUGCAGUUGGGACCGUUUUUGUGAGGAAGGUCCUGUGCAUUGUAGGACGUUGAGUAGCAUCACUGGCCUCUACCCACUAGAUGCCAGUAGCACUUGCCCCUCCAGGCUUAACAGCUACAAAUGUCUCUAGACAUCGCCAACCAUUCCCAGAGGAAGGGGAGGCAGAAUCGCCCCGGCUUAGGGUUUGGUUGAUGCUGGGUGGAACACCCAAGAGCGGCCAGAUACGGUCCACAGUCCAGUUGGCAGGAAGAGACAUGCUGGAAGGCCGUACACCAAAGGUUGUUUUGGGGUCAAGAGAUUAUGAGUAAUUUGGGGGUUGCUUUGGUAGAAAUGACUGGAUCUUCCAGACUCAUUCCUGAUAAAAUCAGAGAUUGGUGUUAGGGCUGAAUUUACAGUAUUAGGGUAUGAAUUAGGGUCAAAGAGUGGUUUGGAUUAGGUUAGGUUUCCUAAGCUUGUGAGUAGGAGAUACAGACACACAGUGAGAACUGAGGGUGGCGGCAGAUGGUGGGAAAGACCUGGGGCUUUUUCAACCCUUUCAGGUAAAAACUGUCUCUAGGGAGAAAACCCUACCUUAUUUGGCUGGCUUCUAGAACCACAAUGACAGUUCUAACUGGGUUAGGUCACAUCUGAAGCAGCCAGAGACCUGGCCCCGCUCCCGCCGCCCCCGGGGGGCCCUCUGUGGCCCCUCAGGGCAGCUACUAGUGGUGGUGGCCACAGAGAUGGGCAACGGACAGGGCUAGUGCCUUACAUAUAUCCUUUCCUCUGAGUCAGUCCGAGACCCUGAGUGGUCAGUAUGAAAACUUUCCCCGAGCCUCAGAGGAGGGCAGGGCCUACCCAGGGGAUGCCAAGGGCCCCAGACAGAAGUCGGGGGUCCAGACCUGGAUGGGGAGGGGUGCAGAGGGCAGAGGACAGACCUACUUGAGGCCCUGAUCCCUGGCCUGACCCCUAGACAGGGGCCCCCUUCCCUCAGAGCCCCCUUGCCCCUCCUUCCCCAGUUUCCAGAACCCCAGGGCUCUGAUGGGGGGGCACUCACUGCAUGGCUGG